AGGAUGAACGCUGGCGGUCUGCUUAACACAUGCAAGUCGAACGGGCGUAGCAAUACGUUAGUGGCGGACGGGUGAGUAACGCGUGAGAAUCUACCUUCAGGACGGAGACAACAGUUGGAAACGACUGCUAACCCCCGAUGUACUGAAAAGGCAAAUAUUUAUAGCCUGAAGAAGAGCUCGCGUCCGAUUAGCUAGUUGGAGAGGUAAAAGCUCACCAAGGCGACGAUCGGUAGCUGGUCUGAGAGGACGAUCAGCCACACUGGGACUGAGACACGGCCCAGACUCCUACGGGAGGCAGCAGUGGGGAAUUUUCCGCAAUGGGCGAAAGCCUGACGGAGCAAGACCGCGUGGGGGAAGAAGGCUCUUGGGUUGUAAACCCCUUUUCUCUGGGAAGAAAGUUGUGAAAGCAGCCUGACGGUACCAGAGGAAUCAGCAUCGGCUAACUCCGUGCCAGCAGCGC
rnacentral:rRNA from 1 species